rnacentral:ncRNA from 1 species
GGACAGGUGCUGAAGUUUCGGCUUCAGAUAAUAGGGAAACAGGUGUAACUCCUGCGCGAACUCGUCACUGUAAUCGGAUGGCUUUUCGCCACUGUGCCACUGGGGAAUCCUGGGAAGGCGGCGGCAAGGCAAUGAUCCGUAAGUCAGGAAACCUGCCUGUCUU